GAUGAACGCUGGCGGCGUGCCUAAUACAUGCAAGUCGAGCGAACAGAUAAGGAGCUUGCUCCUUUGACGUUAGCGGCGGACGGGUGAGUAACACGUGGGUAACCUACCUAUAAGACUGGCAUAACUCCGGGAAACCGGGGCUAAUGCCGGAUAACAUUUAGAACCGCAUGGUUCUAAAGUGAAAGAGGGUUUUGCUAUCACUUAUAGAUGGACCCGCGCCGUAUUAGCUAUCUGGUAAGGUAACGGCUUACCAAGGCAACGAUACGUAGCCGACCUGAGAGGGUGAUCGGCCACACUGGAACUGAGACACGGUCCAGACUCCUACGGGAGGCAGCAGUGGGGAAUCUUCCGCAAUGGGCGAAAGCCUGACGGAGCAACGCCGCGUGAGUGAUGAAGGUCUUCGGAUCGUAAAACUCUGUUAUUAGGGAAGAACAAAUGUGUAAGUAACUGUGCACGUCUUGACGGUACCUAAUCAGAAAGCCACGGCUAACUACGUG
rnacentral:rRNA from 1 species